UACGAGUGCCCCAAGCGUUAUCCGGAUUUAUUGGGCGUAAAGCGUACGUAGGUGGUUUAUCGCAUCUCCUGUUAAAUCCCGAGGCUCAACCUCGGGGCUGCGGGAGAGAUGGCUAAACUAGAGACCGGGAAAGGUAAGUGGAAUUGCUGGUGUAGGGGUUAAAUCCGUUAAUAUCAGCAAGAACACCAAAAGUGAAGACAGCUUACUGGAACGGUUCUGACACUAAGGUACGAAAGCGUGGGGAG
rnacentral:rRNA from 1 species